CGAGUGCAGAGCCUGGAGGCUGUCCCCUGCCCCGGCUGGGUCAAGCACUGGUCCCCAAGACCAAGACGUGCCCUGCCACUCCUUCCCUCACAACCUCUUAAUGGACCAGCUGCCCCUUCUGGGGGCCUGGACACACCCGACCCUUUCCAGGCAUCCCCCAAAUCCCCAAGGUUUCUGCACCCCCAGGCCCUGGAGCCAGCUCCCCUGGAGAUCUGACCAGUGGGCAAAGCAUGCAGGCACCCAGGACACUGGCUGCCGAAUGGGUGAGGAACACCAGUCCGGCACAUCUAGAACAUUCCAAUCCAGGCCUCUCCUGUUUUCCCAGAAUGAGGUGGGCAGGCACCUCUUCCAGUCUGAUGUUUCUGCACUCCCAUGCCAAUACUUUGCUGAAUGUUUGUCCAUUUCCACUGUAGAUGGCAGAGCAUCCCCCAAUACAGCCCCUGAAAUGCCGAGUGUUUGGACACUGAGGUCAUGUUUUAUAAAGAUUCUCUACAUUUCCCCGCCCAGAAUGCCAACAUCCUCUCCAGCAUUUCCUGUCACUGAGCCUGCAGCUUGGAUUAUCAAGCCACCCCUUGUCAGACAGAGGGUAAAUAUUCCAGAGAUAGAGCCCAGGCUUGUCAGCAGAACAGGGCGCUGGUGUGCUGCCUUGUCUGACCAUCGAUGUAGUCCGUGCUGGUGCCUGCCCGAAUGGCCUGCCCCAGUGGCACCUUUCCGACCUGCCACCAGCUGCCAGAGCCAUGGGAUCUCCCUGCACCCCUGGCUUAUUGGCAAACACCCUCACAUGGCAUCUGGCACGAGGCAGCCUUCGUCUCUGGCGUCACUGAGCUUUGCUCGCUGUGUUCUCGGACACGGUAAAGGAUAUGGUGGCUUUGAAGGAGAACACGCCCAUGGACAACGAUCAUUCCUGUCUGGAUAGGAUUCGAUUUUGAAAAGUUAUUGUAUGGAGUAGCCUAAAUGAAAGACUCUGUUCUGAGAACUCUGGGCUUGCUGACAGAAGUAAAACACAUGUCCACAUCCUUCCUCAGGGACCGGGACAGCCCUCUUCAAGGCCAGCACUCUGUGCUUGCUUGCAAAGCACUCAACUAUUCCUUUAUUCAACAGAACCAAAAUCAUUUUGAAACAGAGUAUGUUUGCAAAGAUUGAGUUUUAACCAAAAUAAAGGUAUAGUUUCUAUAAUUGUGGCAAAAUACAAGAGUAUAAAGACAAUAUUAAUCAGAAGGAGACACUAGUAAAGACCUCAGUUUCAACAGAAAGCACUCUACAAC
rnacentral:lncRNA from 1 species